GAUUCUGUUCUUAAUUGAAUGGAGUAGCUAUCUCUCGGGGUGGUCAAUUGGUUGUUAUAUCUCCACUAAUGAGCAGAGAGGGGUAAAACCUUCAAAGUAAGUUAUGUGGGUCAAGGUAUGAUGAUUAAUUGGAGUUCUAGUUCAUUUACUUGAGAAAAUUAGAGUGUUUAAAGCAGCCUCUUGGGGCACUGAAUACAUUAGCAUGGGAUAAUAAAAUAGGAUCUUCACAAUAUAUUUUAUUGGUUUAAAAUUUGGAUAUGAAGAUAAUGAUUAAUAGGGACAGUUGGGGGUAUUCAUAUUGGGUGGUUAGCGGUGAAAUGCUCGGAUCCAUUCAAGAUGAACUAAAGCGAAGGCAUUUUACCAAGGAUGUUUUCAUUAAUCAAGAACGAAAGUUAAGGGAUCGAAGACGAUUAGAUACCGUCGUAGCUUAACUAUAAACUAAUGCCGACCACGGGAGUAUGAGUUGUUAGGA
rnacentral:rRNA from 1 species